CUUGCUCCCUGAUGUUAGCGGCGGACGGGUGAGUAACACGUGGGUAACCUGCCUGUAAGACUGGGAUAACUCCGGGAAACCGGGGCUAAUACCGGAUGGUUGUUUGAACCGCAUGGUUCAAACAUAAAAGGUGGCUUCGGCUACCACUUACAGAUGGACCCGCGGCGCAUUAGCUAGUUGGUGAGGUAACGGCUCACCAAGGCGACGAUGCGUAGCCGACCUGAGAGGGUGAUCGGCCACACUGGGACUGAGACACGGCCCAGACUCCUACGGGAGGCAGCAGUAGGGAAUCUUCCGCAAUGGACGAAAGUCUGACGGAGCAACGCCGCGUGAGUGAUGAAGGUUUUCGGAUCGUAAAGCUCUGUUGUUAGGGAAGAACAAGUACCGUUCGAAUAGGGCGGUACCUUGACGGUACCUAACCAGAAAGCCACGGCUAACUACGUGCCAGCAGCCGCGGUAAUACGUAGGUGGCAAGCGUUGUCCGGAAUUAUUGGGCGUAAAGGGCUCGCAGGCGGUUUCUUUAAAGUCUGAUGUGAAAGCCCCCGGGCUCAACCCGGGGAGGGUCAUUGGAAACUGGGGAACUUGAGUGCAGAAGAGGAGAGUGGAAUUUCCACGUGUAGCGGUGAAAUGCGUAGAGAUGUGGAGGAACACCAGUGGCGAAGGCGACUCUCUGGUCUGUAACUGACGCUGAGGAGCGAAAGCGUGGGGAGCGAACAGGAUUAGAUACCCUGGUAGUCCACGCCGUAAACGAUGAGUGCUAAGUGUUAGGGGGUUUCCGCCCCUUAGUGCUGCAGCUAACGCAUUAAGCACUCCGCCUGGGGAGUACGGUCGCAAGACUGAAACUCAAAGGAAUUUGACGGGGGGCCCGCACAAGCCGGUGGAGCCAUGUGGUUUAAUUCGAAGCAACGCGAAGAACCUUACCAGGUCUUGACAUCCUCUGACAAUCCUAGAAGAUAGGACGUCCCCUAUCGGGGGCAGAGUGACAGGUGGUGCAUGGAUUGUCGUUCCAGCUUCGUGUCGUGAGAAAUGUUGGGUUAAGUCCCGCAACGAGCGCAACCCUUGAUCUUAGUUGCCAGCAUUCAGUUGGGCACUCUAAGGUGACUGCCGGUGACAAACCGGAGGAAGGUGGGGAUGACGUCAAAUCAUCAUGCCCCUUAUGACCUGGGCUACACACGUGCUACAAUGGACAGAACAAAGGGCAGCGAAACCGCGAGGUUAAGCCAAUCCCACAAAUCUGUUCUCAGUUCGGAUCGCAGUCUGCAACUCGACUGCGUGAAGCUGGAAUCGCUAGUAAUCGCGGAUCAGCAUGCCGCGGUGAAUACGUUCCCGGGCCUUGUACACACCGCCCGUCACACCACGAGAGUUUGUAACACCCGAAGUCGGUGAGGUA
rnacentral:rRNA from 1 species